GGUGAACGCUGGCGGCGUGCCUAAUACAUGCAAGUCGAGCGAACAGACGAGGAGCUUGCUCCUCUGACGUUAGUGGCGGACGGGUGAGUAACACGUGGAUAACCUACCUAUAAGACUGGGAUAACUUCGGGAAACCGGAGCUAAUACCGGAUAAUAUAUUGAACCGCAUGGUUCAAUAGUGAAAGACGGUUUUGCUGUCACUUAUAGAUGGAUCCGCGCCGCAUUAGCUAGUUGGUAAGGUAACGGCUUACCAAGGCAACGAUGCGUAGCCGACCUGAGAGGGUGAUCGGCCACACUGGAACUGAGACACGGUCCAGACUCCUACGGGAGGCAGCAGUAGGGAAUCUUCCGCAAAGGGCGAAAGCCUGACGGAGCAACGCCGCGUGAGUGAUGAAGGUCUUCGGAUCGUAAAACUCUGUUAUUAGGGAAGAACAAAUGUGUAAGUAACUAUGCACGUCUUGACGGUACCUAAUCAGAAAGCCACGGCUAACUACGUG
rnacentral:rRNA from 1 species